CAGCUUGAAGAGAAAGAAGAGGUGAGGCAGUUUCCCCCACUCCCUCACCAAUGUGGAGGCUUCGCCUUUUUCCUUCAUGUCGUAGUCUCUCCCCAUCCCCAACACUCCCGCAAUUCCUGGACCAGAUAGGGAGCCUGGCAAGCCCUUUCUGGGAGAACCUGGAACUCUAGGUCAUCGACGUCCUGCCCACGGUUUGACCUGCCUUCCCCCUCGACCGUCCGUCCUCCCCCGCUUUUCACAACUCUCAAGAUUCGAUAUCUAAUCUCCUGUUUGUGCCCAAAAGAGAAAAAAGGGAAGAAUCUCCACACGUUAGGCCUUGUUAAACCUUUAGACCUCCA
rnacentral:lncRNA from 1 species